AAUCACCACUGCAUGAAAGACUUCAUGUUACCAUUCUACAUCUCUCUACUUCUACUUUGAAUAUUGCUUGAUACUGUUAAGAGUCCCACAUCGGACAGGACAUGGCCUGCUGACAAUGUAUUUAUAAGUGGGGACAAUCCUCACCUCACAAGCCGGUUUUGUGGAGGUUGUGUUAGGUCCAACCAUCAUUUCUAAGAGAUACUCCAUGAUAAACUAGUACAAAAAAAAUGCAUUGAAUCAAUUUCUACGAUAUCCAUCAACGAGGAAAGGUGGUUUCUUGAAGAUUAUCUUUUGAUUGGAUUAUAUAGGAUGAAAUAAAGUUGUUGAAGGUAAAUACUAUGCGUUUCAAUCAACUAUAGUUGCUAAAUCUAUUGAAUUUUGUUUGCACAUUUAGCAAUACUUUUGUUACUUGUAUUCUUUUACAAGAUGUGCAUUCUUUUACAGGUGACAUUUAAUCUGGGAAUGAGGAGUUGUUUCCCACCAUGGAAAAGCUCCCUUUCUCAGGACCGCUGGCAUUAUGCAACCUGUUGCUAAAAAAAAAUGAAACUUGUUUUUUAAUGUUUAUUUUGUUUCUUCUUGUUGCACCCUUCCAUUUACUUUCCGUUUACUUUAGUGUAUUGUCUCUCCUCAAUUAGUUCACACUCACAGAAACGAAACAUACAAAAUUGCAGGAAGAAAGUAACUAUAAGAUCUGCAUAAAACAGCAGCAUAAAAAUUCAUCUUUCAUUUUGCUCCAAACAAUUCCAACAACCAUAUCCAAAAUCUAAGGUAAAUCCUCUAUUUUUAACAAAAACAAACAACAAUUUUUUCUUCAUCAUCAACAACAUUUUCCAAUCUCAAUUUCAACAACAAUAACAUUUUCAACAAUCACAAACUCCCAAUCUCAAUUUCAACAAAAACAAUAAUUAUAUACUGUGUUUUCUACAACAGCAGCAACAACCUUAAACAUCCACAAAGUUGUUGAAAGCAACAACGAUAAACCUCCACCGGAAGUUCACCGCUAAUCAUACAAUGGUAACGAAGUACAAGCACCGAACUUACGUAAGAUUUCACUGUUGAGAUUAUUAAUAGAAAUAUCAAGUUCCACGAGAGUCGAACAAAGCUCAGCUAAAUGCGUUGGGAUUUUUCCGGCGAAGUGAUUUCCGGAGAGUGGUCUAACCAAAGUAAUCAAUUUUGCCAGUGAUUUUGUUUCCUAUGACAGAUAAAAGCUCUAGAUCAUGGUUGAGAGGAUCCAGGUGAACAAGCUGGAGAGGUUGAGAGAACCGAAACUCUAAAUAAGUCUUCAUAUGGGUUAUCCUUUAAUUCUCCAGAUUUGGGUGAAACUAAGGUUGAUUUGGGGAUUUAUUAAUGAUUUAAAGAUUAAUUAAUUAAAAAUAAUGAAUUAGAAUUUUACUAUCAUGAUUUUCUGGAUUUUUAUUUUAUUUUUAAAGAUGAUUAUUAAAGAUGAAGAUGAUGAAGAGAAUAAUAGGGAAUAAGAUGAAGAAAUGAAAUGAAAUAUUGUUGUUUAAUUAGAAGGUGGGGACCACUACUGCAGUCCACAAUGUCAUGCAACAUUUCAGAACAAUUAACAAGUCAUAAAUCCUAACCAUCCAAUUAAAAAAUUAAUAAAUUCAUGGUUGUGGUUCAACUUUCCUAUGAAGGGAAAGAACUCCUCUUUCCCAUACUAACUCCCACCUCUUUUACAAGAUGUAAAAGUAAUAUAGGUAACUGUUAUUACUUGAUGCAUAUCAUAUUAUUU
rnacentral:lncRNA from 1 species